AGCAGCCGCGGUAAUUCCAGCUCCAAUAGCGUAUAUUAAAGUUGUUGCAGUUAAAAAGCUCGUAGUUGAAUUUCGGGGUCAGUAGGUUGGUCAUGCCACAGGUAUGUACUGAUCUUACUGAUUCCUCCUUCCUGAUGAACCGUAAUGCCAUUAAUUUGGUGUUGCGGGGAAACUGGACUGUUACUUUGAAAAAUUAGAGUGUUUAAAGCAGGCUAACGCUUGAAUACAUUAGCAUGGAAUAAUGAAAUAGGACAUUCGAUCCUAUUUUGUUGGUUUCUAGGAUUGACGUAAUGAUUAAUAGGGAUAGUUGGGGGCAUUAGUAUUCAAUUGUCAGAGGUGAAAUUCUUGGAUUUAUUGAAGACCUAACUACUGCGAAAGCAUUUGCCAGGAUGUUUUCAUUAAUCAAGAACGAAAGUUAGGGGAUCGAAGACGAUCAGAUACCGUCGUAGU
rnacentral:rRNA from 1 species